UAAGAUAUCUGUGAUAUUUGCCGAAUUAUUAUUUGUAGGUUUGAAGUACCAAGGCACAAUGGCUGAUAGGGCACUGGAGGAACUGCACACCAUGGUUCAGACACCAACUUCCCUGAUGCGACCAACUCACCGGUUCAGUGAGCAUUGUAUCCUCUUACUGUUGCCAUAAUUACAUGCAUUUCACUUUUGCAUUAUAUGUGUACUAUUGCAUGGUAGUUGAACACGAAUUUGGGUUACUUGACAUCGUAAAAUAUGGUGGCUACUCUUGGAUCCGGUGAAUCUGGUGGUUCUGUUUAUAUUAUGUAUUGUGGGACUAUUGAGUUCACAACGCUUUCCAAAUACUCAUAUGUGAUUUCUUUUUUAUUUAUACUCGUGCAGAAAAAUAAAGAGCAUCUUGAUUCUUGUAUUGUUGAAGGCAGCUGUAGCUAAGGCUGGUUACACUAGAAGAUUUUUUUUGUCUAUACAUAGUUCAUGAUUCAGCCCUUGUGUACUAAUUCAUGUGUGACGGUUGGUCAUUGGACUGGAUGUUGCUGCUUCUGAAUAUUACGGUGAAAAGGAUCAGACUCAUCAACCUCGAUUUUCUUGUGUCUUGAAAUGCAGGUUUGGUUCAUCUAACACUAUAUUACGUCCAUUUGUCCAGUUCAUUUUUUUACCAUCUUGCAAUGCGAGGUGCAAGAGAGCAUGUGUUGUUCUAUGUCUUAUAUCCUGUUAAAUCCUAUAGGGGAACGACAUUGUAAGCUUGGUUAGUUUGAUGUCCUACGGAGAAGCAAAAUUGGUCGUGCCCACCGCCAGAAGAUUCAUCUUUGUACUCUCUUCUCCAUUUAUCAGUGCAACGAGAGGCAGAGUUAGUCAUGGUGAUGAUCAUAUUGUAUUCUUAUGAUGCUUGCAGACUGGGAGUGUAUUUAUACUUCAUGCUUAUGAGUUAUGAUGAAUCAUUUCUAUGGCAUUACAUACAGUCAGUGGGAAAAGGUCAUUAGGGACUAGCAUGUUUCACUAUUGUGAUUACAAACUAAAACUUGUGCAAGUAUGAUAAAUGGGUGCAUUGAUCUCUUUUUUGUUGUAGUGCAACACCUUGGAGAUGCACACAAUUUGAUAUUACAGUUCUAUAACAUCUUGGAGAUGCACACAAGUUGGUGCCUCUUUUUCUACUAUCAAUGAUGUUUGCUGCAGAGAUUUUACUUGAAUUCUGGUUCUUGGUUGAAAGCCCCUUGUCAUCAUAGUUUACUUGAAGGCAGCUUCACAAUGAUUCUCAUAAUGAGGGAGUCAUCUUUGGAAGCAAUAUUUCUAAGUUUUUUUAUUUAUAAAGAACCAUGUUAUAUUUGUUUUUUUUUUU
rnacentral:lncRNA from 1 species